rnacentral:rRNA from 1 species
UACGUAGGUAGCAAGCGUUAUCCGGAAUUAUUGGGCGUAAAGAGCGCGCAGGUUGGUUGAUUAAGUCUGAUGUGAAAGCCCACGGCUUAACCGUGGAGGGUCAUUGGAAACUGGUCGACUUGAGUGCAGAAGAGGGAAGUGGAAUUCCAUGUGUAGCGGUGAAAUGCGUAGAGAUAUGGAGGAACACCAGUGGCGAAGGCGGCUUCCUGGUCUGUAACUGACACUGAGGCGCGAAAGCGUGGGGAGCAAACAGGAUUAGAUACCCGU